rnacentral:rRNA from 1 species
AUUGAACGCUGGCGGCAGGCCUAACACAUACAAGUCGAACGAGCGGCGGACGGGUGAGUAAUGUCUGGGAAACUGCCUGAUGGAGGGGGAUAACUACUGGAAACGGUAGCUAAUACCGCAUACCAUCAGAUGUGCCCAGAUGGGAUUAGCUGGUUGGGGGGGUAACGGCUCACCAAGGCGAGGAUCCCUAGCUGGUCGGAGAGGAUGACCAGCCCCACUGGAACUGCGACACGGUCCAGACUCCUACGGGAGGCAGCAGUGGGGAAUAUUGCACAAUGGGCGCAAGCCUGAUGCAGCCAUGCCGCGUGUCUGAAGAAGGCCUUCGGGUUGUAAAGUACUUUCAGCGGGGAGGCGUUACCCGCAGAAGAAGCACCGGCUAACUCCGUGCCAGCAGCCGCGGUAAUUC